rnacentral:lncRNA from 1 species
CUCACUUUCUGUCUCUUUCCUAUGUGAGGACACAGCAAGAAGACAUCAAACCACAAAGAGGGCCCUCACUAUGACCUGCAAGCUGGCACCAAGAUCUAGGACUUUCCAGCUUCCAGAUCUGUGAGGAACAAAUUUUUAUACUUAAACUACUCAGCCUACGGUAUUUGCUAUUGCAGCAACUUGCUUAUCUUCUAUACAGUUUCCUAUCUGUGUUCAGGCUCCUCUGCUGCUUUCUACUGACCCUGUGACUGGCCUGAUGCAGGCCUGAGGAACACCGCGAUACAGCACUGAGACGCUGGCAUGGAGUAAGAAGAACUGGGUGAGAGACCCUCCUGUGCCUCUUCUCACCUGCGUGCCCCCAGCUAAGUCGCUGAACCUCUAUGAAUAGUUUAUUCCACUGCGACUGAGUAAGAAUGCGGGGCUGGAAGCAUGCAGCAAAUUGUACCAUGCUCUUCAGAUAUCACAGCCUUCUGCGCAGCCCUCACCCACUCUCCACUACUGCUGAGCUCUGCAAACCUGUUCAGACUCCAGCUCUGUGGACUCCACCUGCCAACUGGGUCCCUGAGGAUGUCCUAGAAAGUACUUUCACCGCCUCUCUAUGUUAACAGCUCGAAAUCUCCAGACACUUCUGAUUACCAGGGCCCUUUUGAGCACACGAUGGUUUUCUUCCUCAAAAUUCUUAAAAAGAAAAAGAAAAAGGCUUGAAAGGCAGUCAGGACUGGCAGAAGUUGGACUCUCAUUGUCAACUGAGGAAGGAGGCUGUGAAAGGAAAUGGGAAGAAAGCAGAUACACCGAUAGCCAGGCUGGUGUUCUUCCAGAACCAAAUUCACAGGAGAAUAAAUAGUCAACCAGA